UAUGUGAUCGUCUCUCGCAUAUCAAUAAGCGGAGGAAAAGAAACUAACAAGGAUUCCCCUAGUAACGGCGAGUGAAGCGGGAAGAGCUCAAAUUUGAAAUCUUAAAGGGUUUCCCUUUACGAAUUGUAGUUUAAAGAAGUGUUUUCUGUUGAGGUUUUGGUAAAAGUUCUUUGGAAUAGGACAUCAUAGAGGGUGAGAAUCCCGUAUUUGACCUUUACUUUCAACUUUGUGAUACACUUUCAAAGAGUCGGAUUGUUUGGGAAUGCAGUCCAAAAUGGGUGGUAAAUUUCAUCUAAAGCUAAAUAUUGGCGAGAGACCGAUAGCGAACAAGUACCGUGAGGGAAAGAUGAAAAGAACUUUGAAAAGAGAGUUAAACAGUACGUGAAAUUGUCAAAAGGGAAGCGUUUGACACCAGUGUUGUUUUUCUGAAAAUCAAUUAAAGAACUGUUUAUGCUAGGUUGUUUAGACUUUAUCAGCUAUCUGCUUAGUUUUGAGCUUUUCUUUAAUGCACUUUUCAGUUAACAAGUCAACAUCAAUUUCUUUUGCUGUAAAAAAGCUUGAGGAAGGUGGCUUGAGAUUCGUCUUAAGUGUUUAUAGCCUCUUGCCUAUGCAGUCGGAGAGAUUGAGGUCUGCAGCGUAGAUCCUUCGGGGCUAAAUGCAUUUGUGCUAAGUUAUAGCAUUUUAUAGACAACUUGUUGACUAUGAUUUGUCUUGUAGCUUACUCGCUUAUGUUAUUUUACCUACGCUUAGGAUGUUGAGUAGCGACAUACGCAC
rnacentral:rRNA from 1 species